rnacentral:rRNA from 1 species
UCAGACAGCCAGGAUGUUGGCUUAGAAGCAGCCAUCAUUUAAAGAAAGCGUAAUAGCUCACUGGUCGAGUCGGCCUGCGCGGAAGAUUUAACGGGGCUAAGCUAUACACCGAAGCUGCGGCAAUGUGCCUUGUGCACAUUGGGUAGGGGAGCGUUCUGUAAGCGGUUGAAGGUGCACGGUAACGUGUGCUGGACGUAUCAGAAGUGCGAAUGCUGACAUGAGUAACGAUAAAGGGAGUGAAAAACUCCCUCGCCGGAAGAUCAAGGGUUCCUGUCCAACGUUAAUCGGGGCAGGGUGAGUCGACCCCUAAGGCGAGGCCGAAAGGCGUAGUCGAUGGGAAACGGGUUAAUAUUCCCGUACUUCUUAUAACUGCGAUGGAGGGACGGAGAAGGCUAGGUGGGCCUGGCGACGGUCGUCCAGGUUCAAGUAUGUAGGCUGAUGGUUUAGGCAAAUCCGGACCAUCUUAAGGCUGAGAUACGAUGUCGAGGCACCACGGUGCUGAAGUCAUUGAUGCCAUGCUUCCGGGAAAAGCUUCUAAGCUUCAGGUUAUAAGAAAUCGUACCCCAAACCGACACAGGUGAUCAGGUAGAGAAUACCAAGGCGCUUGAGAGAACUCGGGUGAAGGAACUAGGCAAAAUGGUACCGUAACUUCGGGAGAAGGUACGCUCCUAGCGGUGAUGAGACUUGCUCUCUAAGCUGCCGGGAGUCGCAGAUACCAGGUGGCUGCAACUGUUUAUUAAAAACACAGCACUGUGCAAAAUCGAAAGAUGACGUAUACGGUGUGACGCCUGCCCGGUGCCGGAAGGUUAAUUGAUGGGGUUAGACGCAAGUCGAAGCUCUUGAUCGAAGCCCCGGUAAACGGCGGCCGUAACUAUAACGGUCCUAAGGUAGCGAAAUUCCUUGUCGGGUAAGUUCCGACCUGCACGAAUGGCGUAAUGAUGGCCACGCUGUCUCCACCCGAGACUCAGUGAAAUUGAAAUCGCAGUGAAGAUGCUGCGUACCCGCGGCUAGACGGAAAGACCCCGUGAACCUUUACUACAGCUUGGCACUGAACAUUGACCCUACAUGUGUAGGAUAGGUGGGAGGCUUUGAAGCAGUCACGCCAGUGAUUGUGGAGCCGUCCUUGAAAUACCACCCUUGUAGUGUUGAUGUUCUAACGUCGACCCCUUAUCGGGGUUGCGGACAGUGCCUGGUGGGUAGUUUGACUGGGGCGGUCUCCUCCCAAAGAGUAACGGAGGAGCACGAAGGUGGGCUAAUCACGGUCGGACAUCGUGAGGUUAGUGCAAUGGCAUAAGCCCGCUUGACUGCGAGAAUGACGGUUCGAGCAGGUGCGAAAGCAGGUCAUAGUGAUCCGGUGGUU